rnacentral:misc_RNA from 1 species
AAGGACCAGCAGUAUAGGUUCUGGCCCUCUGGACCUGAGCAAAUUUUCCAAUCGGUGAACUGCGUCUUCUUCACUUAGGAAACCAGUGUUGGAAUGCAUAUGCUGAAAUAGCCUCUCUACAAUAACCAUCAUGUUCGGUGAUUUCGAGACUGUAACAAAGAAAAUAUUGCUCCUGUAUUUGCCCUUAACAUUAGCAUCUUGACAAAGUGCUGU